rnacentral:lncRNA from 1 species
AAAAGGAUGCAAAUCUAGUGAACAGAAUGGAAUGGAGCAAAAGACAAUUAUUUUAAUACCCUCUGCAUGUAGACUGCUGGGGCAAUCAAUGGAUGAAAGUGGAUUACCACAGCUGACCAGUUAUGAUUGUGAAGUUAAUGCUCCUAUACAAGGCAGCAGAAACCUACUGCAGGGUGAAGAAUUACUCAGAGCUUUGGAUCAAGUUAACUGAGCUUUUUCUUAAUUUCAUUCCUUUUUUUGGACACUGGUGGCUCAUUACCUAAAGCAGUCUAUUUAUAUUUUCUACAUCUAAUUUUAGAAGCCUGGCUACAAUACUGCACAAACUUGGUUAGUUCAAUUUUGAUCCCCUUUCUACUUAAUUUACAUUAAUGCUCUUUUUUAGUAUGUUCUUUAAUGCUGGAUCACAGACAGCUCAUUUUCUCAGUUUUUUGGUAUUUAAACCAUUGCAUUGCAGUAGCAUCAUUUUAAAAAAUGCACCUUUUUAUUUAUUUAUUUUUGGCUAGGGAGUUUAUCCCUUUUUCGAAUUAUUUUUAAGAAGAUGCCAAUAUAAUUUUUGUAAGAAGGCAGUAACCUUUCAUCAUGAUCAUAGGCAGUUGAAAAAUUUUUACACCUUUUUUUUCACAUUUUACAUAAAUAAUAAUGCUUUGCCAGCAGUACGUGGUAGCCACAAUUGCACAAUAUAUUUUCUUAAAAAAUACCAGCAGUUACUCAUGGAAUAUAUUCUGCGUUUAUAAAACUAGUUUUUAAGAAGAAAUUUUUUUUGGCCUAUGAAAUUGUUAAACCUGGAACAUGACAUUGUUAAUCAUAUAAUAAUGAUUCUUAAAUGCUGUAUGGUUUAUUAUUUAAAUGGGUAAAGCCAUUUACAUAAUAUAGAAAGAUAUGCAUAUAUCUAGAAGGUAUGUGGCAUUUAUUUGGAUAAAAUUCUCAAUUCAGAGAAAUCAUCUGAUGUUUCUAUAGUCACUUUGCCAGCUCAAAAGAAAACAAUACCCUAUGUAGUUGUGGAAGUUUAUGCUAAUAUUGUGUAACUGAUAUUAAACCUAAAUGUUCUGCCUACCCUGUUGGUAUAAAGAUAUUUUGAGCAGACUGUAAACAAGAAAAAAAAAAUCAUGCAUUCUUAGCAAAAUUGCCUAGUAUGUUAAUUUGCUCAAAAUACAAUGUUUGAUUUUAUGCACUUUGUCGCUAUUAACAUCCUUUUUUUCAUGUAGAUUUCAAUAAUUGAGUAAUUUUAGAAGCAUUAUUUUAGGAAUAUAUAGUUGUCACAGUAAAUAUCUUGUUUUUUCUAUGUACAUUGUACAAAUUUUUCAUUCCUUUUGCUCUUUGUGGUUGGAUCUAACACUAACUGUAUUGUUUUGUUACAUCAAAUAAACAUCUUCUGUGGACC